CCACAUCUGCAAGGAAGAAUUUUGACAUCAGACAGGCUGAGUGACAGCCAAAGGCAGACAUUCAUGAAGAGUGCAGAAAACCCACAGAUGGGCCAUUCUGCAAACAGAUGCAGCUAUGUCUCUCAACAUAUUGGGAAGGAACAUAAGGACAAAAAUUAAGCCCUUCAUGUGAUGGAGCCUACCAUCAUUCUACCUCCAGUGAAAGCCUUUGGCACUCCCUGAACUAAAGAACUGCUGAGACUGAAUCCUGCAGUGCCACAGAGAAGGCUUCUCUGAACAGCCAUGCUCAACAGUGAGGCAAAACACCUGCUACUACUCUUCUUGCAGAGAAAUUGAAGAUAUGUAGCCAUAUCCUUCCUGAACACUGGGUGAAAUGUAUACAUGCCGAUGAAAGAGUCCAUGAACAUGCUUUGGAAUUAUCCCCAUUACUUCAAAUCAUAAAAUGUUGCCUCCUCCAUCAAUCAUGGAGUUACUCAGAUUUGCUCUCUCUAGCCCACUUGACCAGGCUUCUGUCUUGGCAGUAAGAGAAUGUGUCUUUCAACUUACACCAUGGUUACAAAUGAAGUAAAAGUUUAGAGAGAAAAAAGCACUAAAAAACACUCCAGAAUGUUUUAUAGUUAUCAAUAAUAAUUAAAACAAAAAUGGUGUGCUUGAUGUUAUGCUAUAUCUAAAUGUACAGCACUUACUCCCUUACAUCAGCAUAACAGUGCUCCUGCCAGCAGUGUAUUUCAUUUCACGAGAGAUCACAUUACUAAAUACAUGACAGGUUAUAUGCCAGCUUGAAUAAUAAAGCUGUAAUGCUAGUUUUUCUCUGCUAUAAGCAGGGAGAGUAAAUGGAACAGUCAGAGACAAGUUUCAGUCUUGAGUCUCUGACCUCAUCCGCCAAAGGACAAAUGUUUUCACUAUCCUAAGUGAACUAUGAGAAGAGCUGGCCUGUAACCAAUCACAUAUGGAUUUACUGGGCUAUAAUUUGGGAGAGAGAACAGUUGCUUACUUCUUGGAUGCUUGAGAUCCACUAUCCAUAGGUUCUAACACCGAGCUAUCAUCUGCUCCGUGCUUCUCCUCGGCAUGUACCCUGCUGAAAUACUACCAUUUAAUUUUUUCCCCUUCUGUACUUUUCACACAAGACUUCUUGUCUUGAACGCUCCUCUCACCCAUAAGAACAGCCAUUCUUAAUGCAGUUAGGGGAGUGUUUAUUUUCUAUCAGCAUCACUGACUACACAAAGCUGCAUACCUUCUUGGUCUCAUUGAGCACAAGUGUCCUGUUUUAAAUUCAGUGCAGGAGAGCAGCAUCACUAGCAAACGUGUGUACACCAUUAGCAACAGGAUAUACUCUCAUGAUAUAGUAACAUAAAAAACCUAGUUACCCUAAAUUCCAGGCUCCUGCUUGAUGUUGCUGUAAAGAUCUGAUUACUGCUAUUUACUCCAUUUCUGUAAUUUCAA